rnacentral:sRNA from 1 species
AAAGGGGAAAUGCGGCCUGCUCCCCACUCAGUGCCACUCCGUGCCAGGCCCUGAGGGCACCCGGUUGCUGCUUCCUUCCGUCUUUCCCCAAGGACUAUCAGAGGCAGGUGGCUGGGCCAGGGGGUGGGUCGGGGGGAGGUCUGGCCAUGUGGUAGGGUGAUAGGACUGAGGGGCCCCAGGGAGCUGGCUGCAGGGCAGUUUGUUUCUCCUGAUGGAGAAUGCUCCCUGGUGGGUGGGGCGAUGGGCUGGGGACUGGUUUGCUCAUGGGGACAGAGAUCAGAAGUGGGCUUGAGAAGAACAGGGCCAGAAGGCCUGGGCUCUGGCCCCAGCCUAGCCCCUGAUUUGUGCAGGGUGGCUUUGGGCAAGUCACUAAGUCACUGUCCAGACUGGGCCCUCAGCCUUCCUGUCUACCCAAUGGAGGGUCUUUCUGUCCACCUGGGAACAGCCUGAUGGGACUGAAGCACAGCCCUUAGUUUCCAGAUGAGAAUUCUGGACUGGAGGCCCUGACAUUACAAUUGCCAACACUGACUCUGGUGUUUGGCAAAAUUUGGGGUAUGUGGGAAACACGUGCUGCUGGUUGAGGUCCUUAACUUCAGAAUUUCCCUCUAGAUCAAUGCUUUUGAAAGCAUUAACUCCAACACCACCAUCUUCUGUAGGAGCUUUCCAGCUUUUCCAGCUUUUCCAGCAUAUGCUCCUGAUCUGUUACUCAGGCAUGCUGGUUAUCCCAUUUCAUAGGUGGACACCUUGAGGCCUAAAGGUUGGUGACUGGCUGUACCUGACACCCUGUGUGAUUCUAGGUUGCCCCUUGCUCCUCUCUGGGCCUUAGCCUUUCUGUCUAUGCAGUGGGGAUUUCAGAUUGCUGUUUUUUCAGAGUCUGAGAGGGCCCUUGUGUGGAGUCACCUCUGAGCUGCAGGCAGGAUUUCCAGGGCAAGAAGGCCACAGCGUCAGCAGGCACCUGUCUUUGGCCUGUGAGCCAUAGCCUAAGGCGUGCCCUUCCCGACCUUGGCCAGAUCACGCUAGAGUCCUCUGAGGCCUCCCCUCCCUUGCCCAGCCACCUUCUCCACUCUGCGGGGCUCCACUUUCACUUUCACGCUCCCAGGCUGUGGCUCUUACCCGUGCCGCGCUUUCACAUCCGCUCACAUCUGUGCUCCCAGAUGCCAGCGUGACCCCUGACAUGUGUGUGCAGCAACCUGCAGCUGCCCCAAGCCAUGGCUGAACACUGACUCCCAGCCGUGGGGCUUCACCAUUACAGACUCCCCGGGGCUUCAAAGACUUCUCAGCUUCGAGCAUGGCCUUUUGGGUGUCAGGGCAGCUGUACAAUAGUGGAUGUUUGAGACGGAGGCAGAUGAGAAGAGGGAGAUGCCCUUGGAGGAAGGGAAGGGGCCUGGUGCCGAGGAUUCCCCACCCAGCAAGGAGCCCUCUCCUGGCCAGGAGCUUCCUCCAGGACAAGACCUUCCACCCAACAAGGAUUCCCCUUCUGGGCAGGAACCCGCUCCCGGCCAAGAACCACUGUCCAGCAAAGACUCAGCUACCUCUGAAGGAUCCCCUCCAGGCCCAGACGCUCCGCCCAGCAAGGAUGCGCCACCAUGCCAGGAACCCCCUCCAGCCCAAGACCUCUCACCCUGCCAGGACCUGCCUGCUGGUCAAGAACCCCUGCCUCACCAGGACCCUCUACUCACCAAAGACCUCCCUGCCAUCCAGGAAUCCCCCACCCAGGACCCUCCACCCUGUCAAGAUCUGCCUCCUAGCCAGGUCUCUCUGCCGGCCAAGGCCCUUACUGAGGACACCAUGAGCUCCGGGGACCCACUAGCAGCUACCGGGGACCCACCUGCGGCCUCCAGGCCAGCCUUUGUGAUCCCCGAGGUCCGGCUGGAUAGCACCUACAGCCAGAAGGCAGGGGCAGAGCAGGGCUGCUCGGGAGAUGAGGAGGAUGCAGAAGAGGCCGAGGAGGUGGAGGAGGGGGAGGAAGGGGAGGAGGACGAGGAUGAGGACACCAGCGAUGACAACUACGGAGAGCGCAGUGAGGCCAAGCGCAGCAGCAUGAUCGAGACGGGCCAGGGGGCUGAGGGUGGCCUCUCACUGCGUGUGCAGAACUCGCUGCGGCGCCGGACACACAGCGAGGGCAGCCUGCUGCAGGAGCCCCGAGGGCCCUGCUUCGCCUCCGACACCACCUUGCACUGCUCAGACGGUGAGGGUGCCGCCUCCACCUGGGGCAUGCCUUCGCCCAGCACCCUCAAGAAAGAGCUGGGCCGCAAUGGUGGCUCCAUGCACCACCUUUCCCUCUUCUUCACAGGACACAGGAAGAUGAGCGGGGCUGACACUGUUGGGGAUGAUGACGAAGCCUCCCGGAAGAGAAAGAGCAAAAACCUGUACGUUGGGAAGAUCCCUGGCUUCUGCGCUCCUCUUCCUCCCUUGCCCCAGGGCUUGUCUCUCCUCUAGGGGUCAAGCUGGGGAGAAGAGGUUGUGCCUGGUCCCGCACACAACCCCAGACAGACACCAAGGAAAAACUGGAUCUUGGAACUUUGCAGUGACCCCAAAGUGGGGUCACCUGGGUCCUAAGCAUUCUCUCCAAGUGAUGCAAAGUGCUGAUUCAGUACCGGGAAGCCACAGUGAACCAGAGGCAACCAGCCCAGUUGCCCUGGCUUUAGCCCAGCUUCUGAGCCAAGCAGGGACCAAGUGACUUCAACAACUCCUUUGCUCCCUCUGGGCCCACGAGUGACCUGAGAAAGGGUGGAACUGACAGUCAUGGGGCUCUUCUUUCUCUUCCUGAGCUCCUGAAUGCUAAUAGUCUCAGGCGUUGCCGGGAGGGGGCGCUGCUGGCCCAACUGCCGAAUCCCGCACUCCCUAAGCCUUUCUGGCCACACUCAGGCCUUCUUAUACUAUGGGGUGUUUGUUAGAGGUGUCAAUGAAAACGAUGUGUGUGUGGGUUCUCAGGUCUCCUUCUACCCCCAGGCCUAAGGCCCUGGAGACUCGGGGGAGGUAUAGGGAGGAGGCAGUGGGGUGCAUGCACAGUGACCCCCGCAGAGGAAGCCCCUCCCCACCAGGUCCUCUAGCACCCACCACUAGGCAGGAAUUGGGCUAUGGGGAGGAGCCUCCUGCAACCCUCUUCCCUGCCCUUGACCUUGGGUGGGGUCCACUACCCUAGAAAGCCUUCCUCACCCCAGCUGCCUUGACCUCUCCAGUUUUCUGCAGCAACUGUUGGCUUCUCUUAGUCCACAGCCAAUUGCACUUUGUUAGCAAGGUGAAAUGCAUAAACCAAAACAGUCCCUUGCACCAACCAUCUUCACUUAACCUUUUGUAGGAUGAGAGAGGAUCCAGGGGGUGCCAGGACUGUUGAAUAUGGCACUGGAAGUGGGAGGUGUAGGGAAGCAGUGUGUGGCAGCAGAGGGCAGGCAUCCCGGGUGCUGGAGCAGCCCUGUCUAGCCUCCUUUCAAUGUAGGUGCUGCCUUUUGAAUUGCCUGAAGCCCACACAUUUUUUUUUUUUGGAGACAGAGUCUCCUUCUGUCACCCAGGCUGGAGUGCGAUCUUGGCUUGCUGCAACCUCCGCCUCCCAAGUUCAAGCAAUUCUUGUGCCUCAGCCUCCCAAGUAGCUGAGAUUACAGGUGUGUGCCAUCACACCCAGCAAAUUUUUUUUGUACUUUUAGUAGAGAUGGGGGUUUUGCCAUGUUGGCCAGACUGUUCUCAAACUCCUGGCCUCAAGUGAUCUUCCCGCCUCGGCCUCCCAAAGUGCUGGGAUUACAGACAUGAGCCACCACGCCUGGCCUCUGAAGCUCACACUCUUAAAAGCUUAGACGAGGAGUCUUAGGACAUCUAGGGUAAUAAUAAGAAUAACCAUUAAUGUUUAUUAUGCCAGGCACUGUACUGUGCAUAUUUCAUAUGUGAUCUAAUUUAAUCUUUACCACUACUUUUAUUUUCCGUUCCGUUCUUUCUUAUUGACCUUACCCUUAUUUUACACAUGAAUAAACUACUGUGCAAAGAG